GUUCUGAGCUGUCAGCACAGAGCCUGACGCGGGGCUCGAACUCACGGACCGCGAGAUCGUGACCUGGCUGAAGUCGGACGCUUAACCGACUGCGCCACCCAGGCGCCCCAACAAUGACUCCUUCUUAGCUGAAGCAAAUUAGCGUGCGUUUACGUGACAAACAAGAAAGAAGUAAGCGUUUUGUCUGCAAGAUAGCUGAGCCCCAGUAGCGUGUGCCCGGAGCGGUUGCGAUAGGAGGUGAUGGGGAAGAGUGCAUUGACAUCCCGUUCCUUCAAAGCUUUCCGAAGACUGUAGUACGUCCGUUUGACCGAACGGUUACAGGGAGCGAAGGUUACCAACUACGACGCCAUCAGGAGCUAAGAUGCUGUCAGGAGUCACACGACUUGACUGGCCACCUGUCGGGGAGCGAGGUCUCCAGGAGACUGAGCCAGGGGAUGGGCUGGUGGUUUGAAACCUGUCCACAGAUUUAACGACUCUCCUGCCAUCAAGAGAGAUCCAAGGGGUGUGUCCUGAAAGAGAGCCACAGAGAAGCCGUAUCGAGUUAUGUGACUUAGACCUUGGAUCUCUGAGCCAUCACGCAAGAAGCCCGGUUACCCUGGAGCCGCCACGGCUGGAGACACCACGUGGAGAGUGAGAGAGACAGAGCAUGAACGGGGGAGGGUCAGAGAGACACAGAAUCGGAAACAGGC